UAUUAACUCGUGUGUUCAUAAAAGAUCAGCAGAAGGAGGAAAGCAGGGCUCAUCAGUUAAAAAGCUGAAAAAAGACAAGGCAACGGGAGCAACAGGGAAAGCCACUCGUCCUGAGACAAACAUUGUAACUAUGGCACCAAGAGUCAAACCAGAGCUUCCUUUGCCUACAAUUUCAGUCGAGGUUGAGCAGUCUAUACUUGAUCACAGUAGAUUUUGUAACAAGAAAACAGGUUGAUGAUAUUUAACUUUCAUCAUCAAGUUCUGAGGUUUGUGUUUUUCUCCAAUUAAUUAUUCUUUUAGAUUGAACAUGUCUAUACUCGUCACAUGCUCAGAGACAUAUCUUGCCAUGAAAAGAAUCUGGACUUGAGGCUGGAUCUGUGCACCAAAAGAACUGUAACUACUUUUACUGAUGAUGACUUGGAAAGCCUCAAAUUUUUGAUAAAUUCUGCUAGAUGUUAGGCACCCAAUAAAAGAGAGUUUGAACAAGUUCCCUUGAAGGACUAGUACACCAUCUGGGGUUCACAGUCAAGCACAACAAGUUGAAGAACAGCUACAACAUCA